rnacentral:rRNA from 1 species
UACGGAGGGAGCUAGCGUUGUUCGGAAUUACUGGGCGUAAAGAGCGCGCAGGCGGUCGAUCAAGUCGCGUGUGAAAGCCCCCGGCUCAACUGGGGAGGGUCACGCGAUACUGAUCGACUCGAAGGCAGGAGAGGGUAGUGGAAUUCCGCGUGUAGCAGUGAAAUGCGUAGAUAUGCGGAGGAACACCGAUGGCGAAGGCAAUCCCCUGGGCCCGCACUGACGCUCAUGCACGAAAGCGUGGGGAGCAAACAGG